CCUGCACCCACACCGGCCCUUUUCGGAUAAGACUGGACACCCCUUGUGAAGAGGUUUAUCUUUUUUUUCAACCAAACAUUGGUUAUCUAAUGAUAACCAAACAUUCAAAUGGGCAAGAGGAGUGUGACUUUGACUGUGGUAUGAUUGCUGUUGCCAGCAUCUCAGAAACAAACUCGGUCCUGGGGGCCCCUGCGUAUGCUGGUUUUCAUUCCAACCUCCAACCUCAUCCCAGUAUUUUAACAGGCUGUUAAUUGUUCUUAAUUAGGUGCUUUUCAUGUUUUAGAGCUGGGGACCCCAGUCUUAUCCAGAAGGAGCCAGUGUGGGUGCACACACCUGAUUCUACUAAUCAACCACUGCACCUUGAUUAGUAGAAUGAGGUGUGUGCAGAUUGUAGUUGAGGCUGGAAUACACAGUGGUCUACCAGGAUUAAUUUUAAGAACUGCUGCUCUAGAGUUUCCAGAGAAUGACGUGAUACAAAAACGACCAGUGAGCAGUGGCUCUGUGGACCUCUGAAUGCACAAUAUGUCAAACCUUGAAGCGGAUGGGUUAAUGCAGCAGAGGACCACGCCAGGUUCCGCUUCUAUCAGCUAAGAACAGGAAAACGAGGCUACACCCAAACUGGAUGAUUGAAGAUUAUAAAAAGCCUGGUCUGACAAAUCUCAAUUUCUACUGCAACAUGCAGAUAUCAGUGUCAUAUUUUGGAGUAAACAACAUAAAUUCAUUGUUGCUGACCAUGUACAUCCCUUUGGGGCCACAGUCUACCCUUCAAAUGUAUACUACCAGCAGGAGAAUGUACCAUGUCACAAAGCAUGCAUAUUUGCGAGCUGGUCCCACAAACGACAGUGACUUCUGUUUACUCCAAUGGCUUGUACACUACUCAGAACUCAAGCCAAAAAAGCACCUUUGGGAUGAGGUUGAACGGGAGGUUCACAGCAUUAUGCGGUCAACAAAUCAACAGGAACUGCAUUCCGUCUAGUCAGCAUGGACCAAAAUCCUAAAGGAAUGUUUCCUGCACCUUUUCGAAUCCAUGUCACAAAUAAUUCAGGCUGUUCUGGAGGCAAAAGAGAGUCCCACCAGGAGCUCGAUAGGUGUGCCCACUGAAGUGACCGGAAUGCUAAACCUCGAAAAAGGGUGAAGCAAGGGCCCAGAGGCCGAAGGCCGCCUGGGUGAUUUGCCACCUCCACAGAACCGUUUCGUCUCCUGGAAACGCCUUCAUCUUGAGGGAUGCCCGUGGCUGAGAGGAAGCUGGACAGGGGGAGAUGGAGCAGCACGGAGACGGAGAGAGGCAGGAAACCGAAAUGGAGAGACAGCUUGUCACAAAUACAGCCACAGCCAGCAGGGCACAGAGGCACACAUGCCAAGAGGAGCGAUCCAGAGGAGGUCGGAGAACAGCAAGUACUUGCACCCUUUUCUCACCCAUUUCACCCACUGUUUGAUGAGCACUAGUGCUAUUAAUAUAGUAUUUUUACAUAUGGACAUGUUUGUAUAUGAAUCAUGGUCUUGAGUAGGUGGAGCCCCAAGCUCAGCCAUUGACCAGGAGCAUAAUACUGGCUAAAACAUGACAGAGUCAAACCGUUUAUGGGAAACCCAGUUUCACCUAGCCAGUCUGGAGAGAGAAACAUCUUGUGUCAAGACUAUAUUUGUAAUCGAAUGUAAUUUAAAUGAAAUAGGCAGUGGGGCUUCUCAGUGGCUCAGUCAAGGAAGGCAAUCACUCACAAAACAGGAUUUGAACCACAACCCAGAAAUUGCUCAUUCAAGUCUGGGCUACUGUACGUCAUUAGCCACCCAUGACACCGAAGAGUUCACAAUGGUAGGCACAGCUGCCUUUGUCCUGUUAGAGGAAGCUAUGCUUAAGCCAUUUUAAAGUGACCUUGCUCUGCAGUUCCUGCUCCCGCAGCUGCAGGUGCCGUAAUGGUCAAAUGGUGAUUCCACAGUUAAUAUGCAAAAAAAAAAAAAAAAUGGGGGGGGGGAGGGGGAGAGAGAGUUGGUAGUCCAAAAACAGUGCAGUCAUUAAAUCUGUGCCAGUACACUGAAUUUUGGCAAAUGUCAUGUGUGCCUCUGUAUAGGGGCCAGGAAUUAGACUGGGUUCAAUAUUUACAUGGCAUAUAUUUAAAGGCUAAAAUAAUAAUUGAAAAAAAUGUUAUUGCAGUAUCAUUGCAAUAUCACACAUUGUACAUUCACUGUCAAAGAUGUGGUGAGUUUUUCGACUGGUGGCUGCAAUCUCAAAUUACCUGAGCCAUUGAUUCUGAAUUUGUCUAAUACCUGCGCCACCUCGUGUCAGUUGAAUUCUCUCGGCAGAAUAAAUAAUAUAUUGCACGGCAACUCAUUGGAAAGGAUAGCUCAGCCGAACAAGAACUCAUAAGCAGUGUGGCUUUUGAUAUAUGCAGGGGAGUUUCAUACUGAAAUCAUUGGUUUCAUUAUAAUAAAGUACUACGGUGAAUAUAUUUAUUAAGAGAUUUGACAAACAAAUGUAUUCAUAACUGAAAUGUCAUGACUUGGAAAUGUUUCUUUCAUAAUGCCGUGUCUGUACUUCAUUUCAUAUCUAAAAUAUUCAGUUCGUAACCUGGAAAAUGGUGGAACUCAGUUAAAAUUUAAAAGACAGAACUUUUGUUACUUAACUUUUGGCAACUUCAAUUAGUAACCCGUGAAACAAUAUAUUACUACUUUUCCUUUGUUUUUAAAGCAUAUCUCUCACAGUCAUUCACACAUUAAAACUUAAAAUUUCUAGACAAUAAUGAAUCUUAGAUGCUUCAAGGUAUGUAUUAUCUGGCUAUCUAUGGCAGCCUACUGUGUGUUCAUUGAAAUACAUAUAUUCAAGAAUUAAUGUCUCACUAGGUGGCUUUUCUUUGCUCUUUAUGCCGUAUACAGGUAAUAUUCCUGACAUUAAGCCACACUUGAGAGAAAAGUAAGUUUAAUUGAGAAGCAACCGUUUAUUGCCAAAUUUCAAAGUGUGGACAAAGAAGAUAUUUAAGAUUUUAAUUCUAAAUAGCAUGAGCAAAUUGCUGAAAGGAAAAAAAAAGAUACAAAGAAAGAAAAAAAGACAUGUCAAUGCUAGGCCUUCAUCAAUCAAACCCAAUGUCAAAGCAACAUGCUCGGUUCAAUUUUCAACUCGCUGCCCCACAAAACCACUUCUUAUUUUCUCUCUGCAAUCUCCCACCGCAAAUGUAUGGAUCAUUGUCUGGUGGGAGCCGAGGGUGACGGAGCCCAGACGCGCGCUGUCUGUCUGACGCUGGUGCCACCGGGUCCGGGAGCCUUUGGACCCCUGCCCUCAGUCAGCCGGCAGUUUGCCGUACCUGCAUUUUCUCCACAAUCGGGCCUCGCCGCCCGGCCGUCUCCCAACUGCCACCUACGCAUAACCUCACACUGAUCGGAGGCUGUUCUGUGUCAACCCCCCUCCCCCCCCCCCUCCUUCUCCCCAAGCCUCCCAAUGCUGUUUGCUUUAAAAACAAAUGCUUCGGGAAACAAAAACAUUACAAAGAGUGAAAAUAAAUAAAAGCGCUCAAAACAAAACAGGGCAUUCAACGGGGGUGCUUAAAGUGUACAUAGCGUUGCGAAAAUAAAAUGUAAAGAUUUGCGAGGCUCGAACGAGCCGGUAAUCUGAUGCUCGACUUUUUUUGUACCCGAAUGAAAGUGCGGGAGCUGUCUGAUGAAUCUACAACUUUGUUUUCUGUGUAUAAAAAUACUCGGGCUCCUGGGAGCGUGCUUCAUUCAACUUCAGUGUGAGGUGGAGAACAUGCUGUUAGAGUAACUUGUACAGAAGUGUUUAAGUUAUGACAAUCGGUAAUGCAGACUUAUUUUUUUCUUUCUUUUACUUCUCGAGUUGAAAACAGUGUUUUUAAGUUACUAUUACAGUCAUCUUUUUUUGUCAAUUUCCUGAUACUUCCUAGCUAUGAGUUUAAUAACCAGAUAGUGGUCAUUGAGCAUGAAACAUGGUGCCUGAACAAGUAAAGUAAUUUUAUGUAGUGUGGAAAGGAGUGCAAUAUUUAUCAAAUUGUUUUUCUUUCCUCAGAACUUUGUCCAAUUUCUCAGUGUUUUGUGACAUCAUUAGUGUGCUGGUAAGGUGUUGAAUCUUCAGUUAAGUGCCAAGUGUUAAGUACCUUAUUUGAGUAAACCAGCACACAUAGCCUAAUUUACGGUAAGCGCUGUUAUUCCUUGUUUCAUUUCCUGGCUGUACUUUUAAGUGGCAUUAUAAUCAGGAAGUCAAGAGGAGAGUCCUCUUCAGAGCACAUUUAUGUAAUCCAAAUCAAUCCAUCAAACUCUUUUUAAUAUGUUCUUAGCACAGAAAAUGAACUGUAUAUAUUCACUGAAUGAACUGCAAGGACAUAAUGUGAAAUUUGGGGGAGAGAGCAUUCAGAAUAGGCCAACACAUACAUGCUUGAACAGACAAUUAGGGAAUCACACGUUUUCACAAUAGUUUUCAUAUCAUUUUGUACAGUAUGACCACAGUUACAUUGACCCAGUCUUGGUCAAAAUGUCAAGAAAUGUUCUAAAUAAAAGUCUGAUUGAAAUAUAACCAUAUUAUUCCAGCCCAGUUCACAGAAUGUGUAAAUGGGCAUAGAACCUACGAAAAUGCAUAAUGAGUGUUUGGGCUACGCGUGUUGUGCCAGUAAUUUGCUCCGCAGACCAGAAUGAUGUUUGCUUAACGUCCAUUGCAUUUAGCUGUACAUAGCCGCGCUGAGCAUGGGGGUGGAAGGCAAAUGAAACCUGGGAUUGUUGAAAAUCUGCGACGUUGGGAAGAUCGCAGAUGGCUUGCCAAUGCACAGCCUAGCGGAAACCAAGAGGGAGGGUGAAUCUGAGCUCCAACUUCUGCUGGAGCUUUGCUCUCUUUGAGAUCCAAAGCUGCUCGUUUUUACAACAAUCUUGCAGGAAUUAUGACCAACGGAAAUCCCUUUCAGGCUUCUGCGGUUCUGUGUUGCGGUUCUCGCUGUGCACUCCUACCCCGUCUUUAGAUUUCAGUUUUUUUUUUCUUUUAAAUUGCAUCCUUUUUAAAAAUAACCCCAUGUAACAUGCAUUUGACCCUUUCAAGAUAUAUGGCCAUUCGUACAGUCGCAAGCUGGAAUUACGAGCGCUCUGAGAAUCCAUGUGAGAUCAUGUGUAAAAUAAUUACAGGUUAUGCUAAUAAGAAUAUACAAAUGUUGCAAAUAAAGACGCUGCUGUUGGGAUAACAAGUCAGGACAGUUCAGAGGACAAAACAAUAUUUAUUACAACCUACACAACAGAGAGAUUUCUAAGUAAAGUGUAUCGAAUUCCUUGCCAAGGGUCUCAAGCUCUUUAAAAGCAGACUCAGCAGCCAGUAGUUUAUAAUUAAUAAUUCAUGUCUUUGUAUGGGCAGUACAACAGCUAUAACGUGAAGAAAUAUUUCAAAUGAAAAAACGUAUAGAAAUUCAUGGAUGUGGAUUUUGCAGUAUUUUCAAAGUAGCCACAUCUAUAAUCAGAAAUAUAUUAUUUAUUAUGGGACAUGACCGGCUAUAUUUUAUUCAGCAGAAAAAUAGAAUUCAUGCAGGUUACCGGAGUUAGUCUUGUGUAAGGACCACAUGUGCCCUCUUCCUGUUUGAAUUUUAAAGGGACAGUCAAAAAGACAAGCACUACACCGAGAAACACAUUUCCUGCACUGGAUAAUAGACAAACCUAAAAAAAAAAAAUAGAGCAUGAGAGAAUCCGAGAGAGGGAAUGGGGAAGAAAAAAAAAAAAAAAAAAAAAAACACAACAGCAUAACAUGGGUGAACAUAAAGAAUUAAACAAAGACGUUGACCCACAAACACUUUUCAAAAAGGGACGACCGGCCCCGCUCCGU